AUUUAAAGAGUGCGUAACAGCUCACUAGUCGAGCGGUUCUGCAUGGAUAAUAAUCGGGCAUAAGUAUAUUACCGAAGCUAUGGACUUUUAAAGUGGUAGGGGAGCAUUGUAGUUGUGUAGAAGGUGAACUGUAAGGUUUGCUGGAACGGCUACAAAAGAAAAUGUAGGCAUAAGUAACGAUAAAGGGGGCGAGAAACCCCCUCACCGAAAGACUAAGGUUUCCUCAGCGAUGCUAAUCAGCUGAGGGUUAGUCGGGACCUAAGGCGAACCCGAAAGGGGUAGUCGAUGGACAACAGGUUAAUAUUCCUGUACCUGCUCACGUUAAAAGUGACGGAUCUCCCAGGUGCUUACGGGGUGACGGAAGUCCCCGUUGAGCCUAGGCUUCGGCCGAAGCGAAAGCAAGUAAGAGGUUCCAAGAAAAGCGAGUGAAGCAGCCCGUACCGCAAACCGACACAGGUAGUCGGGGAGAGUAUCCUCAGGUGCGCGAGUGAUUCACGGCUAAGGAACUCGGCAAAUUAGUCCUGUAACUUCGGGAGAAGGGACGCCAGUUUCGGCUGGCCGCAGUGAAACGGCCCAAUCGACUGUUUAGCAAAAACACAGGACUCUGCGAAGGCGAAAGCC
rnacentral:rRNA from 1 species